GAUGAACGCUGACAGAAUGCUUAACACAUGCAAGUCGAUGGGGAAGUGGUGCUUGCACCAUGGUAACCAUGGCGGACGGGUGAGUAACGCGUAAGGAACUUGCCUGCGGGACUGGGAUAACAGCAGGAAACUGCUGAUAAUACCGGAUAAGGUCAUUAAGCUGCAUAGCUUAGUGAUGAAAGGAGACGCCUGCGGAGAGCCUUGCGUCCUAUUAGCUAGUUGGAGGGGUAACGGCCCACCAAGGCGAAGAUAGGUAGCCGGCCUGAGAGGGUGGACGGCCACAAGGGGACUGAGAUACGGCCCUUACUCCUACGGGAGGCAGCAGUGGGGAAUAUUGGACAAUGGGGGCAACCCUGAUCCAGCAAUUCUGUGUGCACGAAGACGGUUUUCGGAUUGUAAAGUACUUUCAGCAGGGAAGAAGGAAGUGACGGUACCUGCAGAAGAAGCGACGGCUAAAUACGUG
rnacentral:rRNA from 1 species